AGUGGAUCACUCGGCUCGCGGGUCGAUGAAGAACGCAGCCAGCUGCGAGAUUUGGUGUGAAUUGCAGAACACUCAGAUCACUAAUUAUUCGAGCGCACAUUGCGGCUCCUUGCCCAUUUGGGGGGAGCUUCGCCUGUCCGAGGGUC
rnacentral:rRNA from 1 species